rnacentral:rRNA from 1 species
GAUGAACGCUGGCGGCGUGCCUAAUACAUGCAAGUCGAGCGAACGGACGAGAAGCUUGCUUCUCUGAUGUUAGCGGCGGACGGGUGAGUAACACGUGGAUAACCUACCUAUAAGACUGGGAUAACUUCGGGAAACCGGCGCUAAUACCGGAUGAUAUUUUGAACCGCAUGGUUCAAAAGUGAAAGACGGUCUUGCUGUCACUUAUAGAUGGAUCCGCGCUGCAUUAGCUAGUUGGUAAGGUAACGGCUUACCAAGGCAACGAUGCAUAGCCGAGCUGAGAGGGUGAUCGGCCACACUGGAGCUGAGACACGGUCCAGACUCCUACGGGAGGCAGCAGUAGGGAAUCUUCCGCAAUGGGCGAAAGCCUGACGGAGCAACGCCGCGUGAGUGAUGAAGGUCUUCGGAUCGUAAAACUCUGUUAUUAGGGAAGAACAGAUGUGUAAGUAACUGUGCACAUCUUGACGGUACCUAAUCAGAAAGCCCCGGCUAACUACGUG